AGGUGAGUAAUACACAAGAAUCUGCCUUAAAAUCUUGAAUAACCGUAUUUUAAAAUAAUGCUUUGCAGCGAAAAUUCAAGAACCAAAAGUUAAAUACUGUUUUAAGAUGAGCUUGUGCAGGAUUAGGUUGUUGGUAGGGUAAUGGCCUACCAAGCUGAUGAUCCUUAGCUGGUUUGAGAGGACGGUCAGCCACACUGGGACUGAGAUAAGGCCCAGGCUUAUUAGCCAGCAGUGAGGAAUUUUGGACAAUGCGCGAAAGCGUGAUCCAGUAAUACUGCGUGAAUGAAGAAGGCAAAAAAGGUUUAUUUUAUAAACCGGUUGUAAAGUUCUUUCGUUUAUGAAGAUAAUGACUUUAUUAAAAGAAGAAGCCCCGGCUAACUUCGUGCCAGCAGCCGCGGUAAUACGAAGGGGGCGAGCGUUAUUCAGAAUGAUUGGGCGUAAAGAGUUCGUAGGCGGUAUUUGUUGUUAUAUGUAAAAUACUAGGUUUGUUGCUUAGAAAUGCAUUUAAUACUCUUUUACUUGAGUAUA
rnacentral:rRNA from 1 species